AUUGAACGCUGGCGGCAGGCCUAACACAUGCAAGUCGAGCGAGCGGCGGACGGGUGAGUAAUGUAUGGGGACUGCCCGAUAGAGGGGGAUAACUACUGGACACGGUGGCUAAUACCGCAUACUGUCGGAUAACCCAUAGGGGAUUAGCUAGUAGGUAAGGUAAUGGCUGACCUAGGCGACGAUCCCUAGCUGGUCUGAGAGGUUGAGCAGCAAAACUGGAACUGAGACACGGCCCAGAGUCCUACGGAGGCAUCAGUGGGGAAAAUUGCAAAAUGGGCGAAAUCCUGAUGAAGCCGGGCCGAAUGUAUGAAGAAGGCCCUGGGGUUGUAAAGUAUUUUCAGUAGGGAGGCGUUACCGACAGAAGAAGCACCGGCGAACUCCGUGCCAGCAGCCGCGGUAAUAC
rnacentral:rRNA from 1 species